rnacentral:lncRNA from 1 species
UGAAGUCUAAAACCCUUGUUUUCCAAGGAAAGAACGGCCGUUCAAUCUUUUCACAGUUGAACAAACAGUAUAAGAUAUUAAGAUCUACUAGAGAAAUUUUAUGGAAAAUAAUCUUAAAACCAUUUAGUUACUUGGAUUUUAAGGUGGGAAUGGGUGGUAUGGGAAAUAAUAAUUAUUUCUACUUCAAAUAACACACUGAAGGAAUGAAAGUAAGAUCCAAAUUUUGAAGGUAAGUUAAAAUUUUGAUUUCUCUUGUUCAUUAGGGCAUUUUACCAAAGAGUUUGGUUUUUUGUUUAUUUGGGUUUUGAUUAUGUUUAAUUUAUGUGGGGUUUUGUUUUGUAGUUUGUUAACUAUUUUUUGGAGGCGCUUGUGUUUUAUUGCCAGAGACCACAAAUUUAAAAUCUGAGGGAGCUCUACGAAGCUAUCACAUAUGGAGGAGGUUUCACAGUCCUAAAGCUGUAGUAUGAGGUACAUUAAUUCUUGUUUUCUUCUCUCUCUUUUGCCCAAAAGAAAUUAGAAUGACCUGCCAUAUUACAAAAGCGAAUUUUGUAAUAUGGGACUGAUCGUUGUUGUGUUUCAUUAGGUUAUUUUGGAUUGGCAAUAUGGGAUGAAAAUGGAGAAGUUUAAAGUUUAAACGAGUUUCACACAAGAAUUCUAGUCGCUUUUUUGGAGUUAUCUGGGGUUUUGUUUUGUAGUUUGUUAACUUGAUCAACGAGAUGAGAUGAAUUGACAAAAGAUUUUUGUCAAGCUGCUGUUCUUAUUACUGAAGAGGAUUAUGCCUCGUCUGGUGAGGUAAACCUUUAUAAUGCUUGAAUGAUGGAAUCAAAAUAUAUUCUAAUAUGUUUACUGGUCUGAAUUUCUAGUAUGUUUUCAACAUAAAAGUGAGAUAAAAUACUUUUUCUUUCUUGCAGUUCCUUGAUGGUGAGAAUAGGUGGUAUCGGAAAAUAUUAAGUGAUAAAAAAAAUGGAGCCCCGAUGGAGUCUCUAAUUUUCAUGUGCAAAAUGACCACAAUGUAUAGCUGAAACUACAUGCUUUCAGUCUUAACUAAUUCAUUUAACUUCACAGUGAUAAAUAGUAUUUGAGGUUAACUAGAUUAUUCUCUAUUGCAGGAAUGAUGUCAACCAAUUUCAUAGGUGUGCUCAGGAAUCAUGUAGGGUCAACUGUGCAAAUACAAUUCAGUGGAAGAUCGGAUCUCAGGUUCCAAUAAAGCUAUCCAGGAUGAUGAAGAUGUAAAGGAACAUGCCAACAAUAUAAGUGCAUCACAAUACAAGUUCAAUGACAUAAUAUAACUUGAAGGUCAUGCUAUUUUGACCCUUGAUUGAGUUAAGAGUGGAAACAGUAGUUAAGACUUGGUUCGUCACAAAUUGGUAUUUAUGUUGCUUAAUUGAUAUGUUUCUCGAGGCAGCAAUGUUUUGCUGCUUCUUGAUCUGAGAGAGAUGUAUUUAUUUUAAUAAAAUUUGAUGACUACUCAGUAUUCUGGGAUUGUCUAUUGCAGUGCUUUUGUUUU